GUGCCAGCAGCCGCGGUAAUACGGAGGGAGCUAGCGUUGUUCGGAAUUACUGGGCGUAAAGCGUACGUAGGCGGCUUUGUAAGUCAGAGGUGAAAGCCCACGACUCAAUCGUGGAACUGCCUUUGAGACUGCUUCGCUUGAAGAUGGGAGAGGUUAGUGGAAUUCCGAGUGUAGAGGUGAAAUUCGUAGAUAUUCGGAAGAACACCAGUGGCGAAGGCGGCUAACUGGACCAUUCUUGACGCUGAGGUACGAAAGCGUGGGGAGCAAACAGGAUUAGAUACCCUGGUAGUCC
rnacentral:rRNA from 1 species